rnacentral:rRNA from 1 species
UUGGCCAUCAUAGCGGAGGAAAAGAAACCAACAGGGAUUGCCUCAGUAACGGCGAGUGAAGCGGCAAAAGCUCAAAUUUGAAAUCUGGCUGCUUUUUUAGUAGUCCGAGUUGUAAUUUGAAGAAUAGAUCCUUGGAGAGGCGCCUUGUCUAUGUUCCUUGGAACAGGACGUCGCAGAGGGUGAGAAUCCCGUUUGGCGAGGUGUGCUGAUCCGUGUAAGGGCUGUUCGACGAGUCGAGUUGUUUGGGAAUGCAGCUCUAAGUGGGUGGUAAAUUCCAUCUAAAGCUAAAUAUUGGCGAGAGACCGAUAGCGAACAAGUACAGUGAUGGAAAGAUGAAAAGAACUUUGAAAAGAGAGUGAAAAAGUACGUGAAAUUGUUGAAAGGGAAGGUUAUUAGAUCAGACUUGGAUUUUUUAUUAUAUUUGUCUCCUUGUGGGGCAUUCACUAAUUUUUAAUCCAGGCCAGCAUCGAUUGGGAUGGCGGGAAAAAGAGGGAGGAACGUGGCUGUGCAUUUAUGUGCAGUGUUUAUAGCCUUUCUUAAUACCGCCUGUCUCGAUCGAGGACUGCGGCAAAUUUAUUUUUGCCUAGGAUGCUGGCGUAAUGAUCUAAUAUCGCCCGUCUUGAACCCGGCCA